GCAGCGGCAUUGGAUGGAGAUGACCCUCAAAACCCAACACAAGGUCUGAUACCGAAACUUCUUCGCCGCCGACAUCUCAUAUGGGGCCUCAAUUACCCGCCGUUCACCGCCUAUCAUAGCUACGGCCAUUACCUCCUCCGUUCUUUCUUUCCAUCUUCCAUCCGUCGCUAUCUUCGCCUCCCGCGGCCACGAAUCUCCUCUCAGGGUUCUUAGCCAUUCUGGGCCGUGGUUCUGCCCACUGCAAUGAAUAACACUUAAGGUGGAAGAAGUUGACCUACCUCUUGUGGAGUAGAAGAAGAGAGGGGUGUACGUAACAACAGAGUAAAGAUGGGACCAUUCCCAACAGGCCAUCUAUUUGCAGGUCACCAGUGGAAGCAUCAGGAUUGCCCAAGCAAGACAUUUGGUCUGUGGUCCAUCCCCCAUGGGGCCCACUAGAUCAUCAGAUAGAUGUUGAUACGAUCGUAAGUUUCAGGUAGCUUUUUUUUUUUUUCACACAAGCACUUACACUCCCACACAUAUUCAAGCUCACACCACAGUGGGUACUUGAACCCACGACCUCAUGUUGAAACUCUCGUGAGUCUACCACAGGGGCAUGAGUAAGGACCCCCAAGUUUUGGUAAACAAAGUACUUAUUAGCCAAAAAGAUAAAAGUGUGUUUGGUUCCCAACAGCACACAAGUACUUAUCCCACCACCCACAUCUACCAUCCAUCAUGUGUAUGUUGGGAAUGGAGGAGAGAGGGGUAGUGUGGCCAACCCCUAGGGGGGCCCAUCACUUGGCGCAACCCUAUGUAUAGGGCCUGCAUAACCCAUAUCUCCACUUCUCAUGAAAUCUCUCUCAUUCUCUCACCCUCCCUUCUAUUUUUGGAAAAGCCGCACCUUCCUAUUUGGAAAAAAGUCAUGCCAUCCUGUUUUGGGAAACGCCGUGCCAUCCUAUUUUUUGGAAAAAGUUGUGCCUUCCCUGUUUUGAGAAAAGUUGUGCUAUCCCUAUUUUUGCGAAAAGCCGCGCCAUCUUUGUUUUUGGAAAAAUCCGCCCCAACCCUGUUUUUCAGGAAAAGCCAAGCCAACCCUGUUUUUCAGGAAAAGCCACCAACCCUAUUGUGCGGCCGCACUGACAUCUGAGGUGAGGGAACAGGGAGAUGAGGUAAGAUAUGUAUCUUAUAUGGGGCCCAUCCACUUGCAAGUUGAGUAGGACUAUGUCGUUGACGCACCACCUUCGUUGUCAGAUCGGAGAUGUAAAUUGGCUUGUCUUCCCGCAUCUGGUUAAUUUGAGUUGGCCACCGAGUAUUCGUGUUUCAGCUCCCUAGAUCAGUCAUGCAAUUGUAUUGCUAGAUCCAUAACACAAAAUAAUAAUAAAUGCCACAUUGUCUACUUCCUUGCCAAUAGUGAUAUAAGAGCAAACGUCUAA